GGGUUGUGAGGUUAAGUGACUAAGCGUACACGGUGGAUGCCUAGGCAGUCAGAGGCGAUGAAGGACGUGCUAAUCUGCGAUAAGCGUCGGUGAGCUGAUAUGAAGCAUUAUUAGCCGGCGAUGUCCGAAUGGGGAAACCCAGUGCAAUUCGUUGCACUAUCGUUAAGUGAAUACAUAGCUUAACGAGGCGAACCAGGGGAACUGAAACAUCUAAGUACCCUGAGGAAAAGAAAUCAACCGAGAUUCCCCUAGUAGCGGCGAGCGAACGGGGAAGAGCCCAGAACCUGAAUCAGUUUGUGCAUUAGUGGAAGCGUCUGGAAAGUCGCGCGAUACCGGGUGAUAGCCCCGUACACGAAGGUGCACAGCUGUGAGUUCGAUGAGUAGGGCGGGACACGUGUUAUCCUGUCUGAAUAUGGGGGACCAUCCUCCAAGGCUAAAUACUCCUGACUGACCGAUAGUGAACCAGUACCGUGAGGGAAAGGCGAAAAGAACCCCGGCGAGGGGAGUGAAAUAGAACCUGAAACCGUGUACGUACAAGCAGUGGGAGCAUCCUUCGGGGUGUGACUGCGUACCUUUUGUAUAAUGGGUCAGCGACUUAUAUUUUGUAGCAAGGUUAACCGAAUAGGGGAGCCGUAGGGAAACCGAGUCUUAACUGGGCGUCUAGUUGCAAGGUAUAGACCCGAAACCCGGUGAUCUAGCCAUGGGCAGGUUGAAGGUUGGGUAACACUAACUGGAGGACCGAACCGACUAAUGUUGAAAAAUUAGCGGAUGACUUGUGGCUGGGGGUGAAAGGCCAAUCAAACCGGGAGAUAGCUGGUUCUCCCCGAAAGCUAUUUAGGUAGCGCCUCGUGAAUUCAUCUUCGGGGUAGAGCACUGUUUCGGCUAGGGGGUCAUCCCGACUUACCAACCCGAUGCAAACUACGAAUACCGAAGAAUGUUAUCACGGGAGACACACGGCGGGUGCUAACGUCCGUCGUGAAGAGGGAAACAACCCAGACCGCCAGCUAAGGUCCCAAAGUCAUGGUUAAGUGGGAAACGAUGUGGGAAGGCAUAGACAGCCAGGAUGUUGGCUUAGAAGCAGCCAUCAUUUAAAGAAAGCGUAAUAGCUCACUGGUCGAGUCGGCCUGCGCGGAAGAUGUAACGGGGCUAAACCAUGCACCGAAGCUGCGGCAGCGACACUAUGUGUUGUUGGGUAGGGGAGCGUUCUGUAAGCCUGUGAAGGUGGCCUGUGAGGGCUGCUGGAGGUAUCAGAAGUGCGAAUGCUGACAUAAGUAACGAUAAAGCGGGUGAAAAGCCCGCUCGCCGGAAGACCAAGGGUUCCUGUCCAACGUUAAUCGGGCAGGGUAAGUCGACCCCUAAGGCGAGGCCGAAAGGCGUAGUCGAUGGGAAACAGGUUAAUAUUCCUGUACUUGGUGUUAUUGCGAAGGGGGGACGGAGAAGGCUAGACCGGCCGGGCGACGGUUGUCCCGGUUUAAGCGUGUAGGUGUGAUGACCUGGCAAAUUAACACUGAGGCGUGAUGACGAGGCACUACGGUGCUGAAGUGGUUAAUGCCCUGCUUCCAGGAAAAGCCUCUAAGCUCUAGAUAACACUGAAUCGUACCCCAAACCGACACAGGUGGUCAGGUAGAGAAUACCAAGGCGCUUGAGAGAACUCGGGUGAAGGAACUAGGCAAAAUGGUGCCGUAACUUCGGGAGAAGGCACGCUGGCAUGUAGGUGAAGUCCCUCGCGGAUGGAGCCGAAGCCAGUCGAAGAUACCAGCUGGCUGCAACUGUUUAAUAAAAACACAGCACUCUGCAAACACGAAAGUGGACGUAUAGGGUGUGACGCCUGCCCGGUGCUGGAAGGUUAAUUGAUGGGGUCAGCCGCAAGGCGAAGCUCUUGAUCGAAGCCCCAGUAAACGGCGGCCGUAACUAUAACGGUCCUAAGGUAGCGAAAUUCCUUGUCGGGUAAGUUCCGACCUGCACGAAUGGCGUAAUGAUGGCCAGGCUGUCUCCACCCGAGACUCAGUGAAAUUGAACUCGCUGUGAAGAUGCAGUGUACCCGCGGCAAGACGGAAAGACCCCGUGAACCUUUACUAUAGCUUGACACUGAACAUUGAACCUUGAUGUGUAGGAUAGGUGGGAGGCUUUGAAGUGUGGACGCCAGUCUGCAUGGAGCCGACCUUGAAAUACCACCCUUUAAUGUUUGAUGUUCUAACCUGGUCCCGUAAUCCGGGAUAGGGACAGUGUCUGGUGGGUAGUUUGACUGGGGCGGUCUCCUCCCAAAGAGUAACGGAGGAGCACGAAGGUUAGCUAAUCCUGGUCGGACAUCAGGAGGUUAGUGCAAAGGCAUAAGCUAGCUUGACUGCGAGAGUGACGGCUCGAGCAGGUGCGAAAGCAGGUCUUAGUGAUCCGGUGGUUCUGAAUGGAAGGGCCAUCGCUCAACGGAUAAAAGGUACUCCGGGAUAACAGGCUGAUACCGCCCAAGAGUUCAUAUCGACGGCGGUGUUUGGCACCUCGAUGUCGGCUCAUCACAUCCUGGGGCUGAAGUAGGUCCCAAGGGUAUGGCUGUUCGCCAUUUAAAGUGGUACGCGAGCUGGGUUUAGAACGUCGUGAGACAGUUCGGUCCCUAUCUGCCGUGGGCGUUGGAAGAUUGAGAGGGGCUGCUCCUAGUACGAGAGGACCGGAGUGGACGCACCGCUGGUGUUCGGGUUGUGAUGCCAAUUGCAUUGCCCGGUAGCUACGUGCGGAAGAGAUAAGCGCUGAAAGCAUCUAAGCGCGAAACUUGCCUCGAGAUGAGUCUUCCCUUGGACCUUGAGUCCACUAAAGGAACGUUUAAGACUAAGACGUUGAUAGGCUGGGUGUGUAAGCGUAGCGAUACGUUGAGCUAACCAGUACUAAUGAUCCGUGAGGCUUAACCUUACAACACCGAAGGUGUUU
rnacentral:rRNA from 1 species